rfam:Clostridium clostridioforme CAG:132 genomic scaffold, scf32
GGGCGAAUUCCCGAGUGGCCAAAGGGGACAGACUGUAAAUCUGGUUCAUACCCGUGGUGUCGAGAGUUCAAAUCUCCCUUCCGCUA